rnacentral:rRNA from 1 species
GAUGAACGCUAGCGGCAGGCUUAAUACAUGCAAGUCGAACGGGAUUGAGAAGCUUGCUUUUCAUGAGAGUGGCGCACGGGUGCGUAACACGUAUGCAACCUACCUUGUCCAGGGGGAUAGCCCGUUGAAAGACGGAUUAAGACCGCAUAACAUUGAGCUGUGGCAUCACAAAUCAAUCAAAUAUUUAUAGGGACAAGAUGGGCAUGCGCCUGAUUAGGUAGUGGGCGGGGUAAUGGCCCACCAAGCCGACGAUCAGUAGGGGAUCUGAGAGGAUGACCCCCCACACUGGUACUGAGACACGGACCAGACUCCUACGGGAGGAAGCAGUAAGGAAUAUUGGUCAAUGGGCGAAAGCCUGAACCAGCCAUGCCGCGUGCAGGAAGACGGCCCUACGGGUUGUAAACUGCUUUUAUACGGGAAUAACCCCGGUUUCGUGAAACCGGCUGAAUGUACCGUAAGAAUAAGGAUCGGCUAACUCCGUGCCAGCCGCCGCCGUAA